GCAGAAGCCAGGAAGGAAAAUCUCAUGCUUUUAAGAACUCUGCUCUGUAAUUGGAUGAAUCUACCUUCUCUGCUUAAAAGUAGAGAAGACAGAUGAAUGAGCUUGAGCUGUACUUUCAAGGCUUACCACAUGUAGCAGUCUGAAGGGGAUCUGUGGAGUUUGUCUUGAGAAAAUACCACUGUUUGGGAACUAUUCCAGCUCCCAGAUGCUGAGCAUUUUGCUGUUGACCUCAGGUGCUGAAUUAACAUGAUGCAACCCAGAGAUGCAAAGGGAUUUCUUUCAUUAACAGUGCUGUGAUGCUAGUGAGAACAGAAGAUGUGUUUCCUAGACAACCACCAUCACUCUUUAGGUUUCAUGUGGGUUGGUGAGUUGAAUUGCGUCAUGGAGAGUCGCGGGAGCUGAAGGCUGACACAAGUUGAGCAACAAAGUGGGAGAAGAAGGGGGGAGAGUUGGGCUUGCUCAAAAUCCAGCAACACCUCUUUCACUAAUUGGAUACUAGGAGCUUUAAAUACUGUCACUUAUCUAACCUUUUACAAUUAAUAUUAAUGGAAAUUAAUUACCGGGAAAAAGGAGGUGUUCUACUGUCAUCAUUAGGAAGAUUGUGGAACAGUUUAUCAUGAAAACUAUUUACUGGCAUGUGAAGAACAGAAGUUUGAUUGUAAACAUCCAGUGUGGAUCUACCAAGAGCAAAUUGUGCUGGACCAACCUGGAUUGACUGUUACGGUGAAGUGACACCGCUGUGCACGAAGAGCCUGUGACUUUGUCCUCAAGACUCAAGCCUGAAGAAAACAUCCAGCUUGAAUCUUAUUUCUAUCUUUCUAUCAAAAACCUGGUGCUUGGUCACCAGGCCUCACCUCCUUCCAAAGAUGCUGUGUGGGGAAGUAGCGCCUGGCUGAGCAGGGCUCCCUCUGACCUUCCUUCUACUCCUGCCUAGAAGUGGCCAGCAUCCCACAUCUGCCCCACACCUGGAUGAUGUAAAAGAGGAGAACCUUAAUUAGCGAACAUGGAAGCUGUUUGUUUUCCUUCCCCUCGUGACCAAUUCCUUCAGCAGGGAGGCCAUCAGUGGAGACCUCCUCUCAGCUGUCCUACAACCAUUCAAGCACGAGACUGGGACAUGCCAAAGUUCAACUGAGCUCCAGGAGUUACCGAGGAAAAAAAGAAGCAUAUGGCCACCAGUGAAAUCUAAAGGGCCAAAGAGAAUAACUAGGGUUUAUGCAUAAAAGCUGGAUAGAACCGAGCUCUCUCACAUGGGUCAGGUUGAUGGUUGGGCUCAAUGUUCUUGAAGUUCUUUUCCAGCCUAGAUGAUUCUAGGGCUUAUGCAAUUUGUGAUGAGCCAAGCAAAGACCUUUCUCCCAGUCAGCAUUAUGUAAAAUGGUUGCAUUCACAGCUUGAGACCGUUUUCUUCCUGAGCUGGGAUUCCUUAGGUGAUCAAAUGCACUGUUAAAGAGACGGAAAGCAGCCUGUUCCAUCCCUUGACUGUUAUGGUAUAGCAAAUAUUAUGUAUAACUGACUGAUUUUUGUGAGAGCCAUGAAAAGUGUAUGAGCUUGCAAAAGGUUUAUGUAUGUUUUAUAGCUGAAACAACCAUGAGAGUAAAACUACAUUGUUUUACUCUUUCAUGCUUCCUUUCUGCUUUUAGAUCACGUUGCCCGUGAAGUCAAGCGGGAGGUUCUUUAAUUUCUGCAAAUGUCUCUGGGAAAAUGUAGCACUACAGUUAUGUAUUUACGAAAUGGCAUUAAGUACGUUGUAAAUUCUAUCAAUCAAACUGAAUGUUGCCAAAUGGGAUAUUAUGUUUGUUAAUGAAACAUGUUUCCCAUUCACACUCCCUAAUGGAGCAGGAAACAGAGACUACAGCACCUUUUCUGUAAUUCCCUGCAGCCAGAAUUUUGUUUCCCAGAACUAACUCCACUGGGGGUGUUCCACCAUUGGAUCACUCCAUCUUAUUUCCAGUACAAUGGGAUUUUCAGCAAUGAUAAUUAUGCUUUGAAAAUGCUAAGUGACAAGCUCAUAGCUGGUAUAAAGCAAUUCAAAUGAACCUAUGCUAGUUUCAUGUCAUAGCCACUGUGUGCAUGUAGUAGAAAAGCAAAAGCUUUAAGCCCUGUGAACAUUUCUUUUUAAUUAGAAACAUUGCUACGGAAAAGGCAUAACUUCUUCUAUUUCUUUUCUAUUUUUUUUUUUAAUCCGCAAGUAAAUGGAUGUUGGACUAGGAUGAUCCUUUGUGAUCAGAAAGUUCAGUAUGAUCUUACUAAAUGUAGAAAUACUUUGAAAGUGGAUAGUCUUGCAGAUCUCAAUAGCUUUGAAAGCCUGGCAAGCUAUGGCUCCUAAAAAUUGGAAGCCAAAUAAUGUGAAAGCAUGUAAAUUGUAUACCAGGUAGGAGAAAACCACCUUCUGAUUUGUAAAAAAUCAUGGUUUUUUGCUAAAUUAAAAAAAAAAAAAAAAAAAAAAGAAAAAACCUGCUGAGAACUGGCUGCAUCACUAACUCUAAGGAUUUAUGUUAUAUAGAUCCAUUUCCAUGCGAGGCUUUAAAUGUUAUACUGCUCUAAAUUAGCUAAGGAUUACUUCAUCCUCUAAAUUAGGUGAGGAUUGGUUUGUCCUCAGACAGCCUUGUGACAAAAGGAAUGUAUUUCCAGUCAUUACGGUAAUCUGCUACAAUAAAUUGAAAAUUAAACUUCAUGCAUUACUCUAUCCCUGAAACAAACACAGUAAUCAUUUACCUUGUCACUGACAUUCUAGUAGUUACAAUUUGAUUUAAAUACUGAAUUAGCAACACUUAAUUUUUUUAUAUUAAAAAUAAGAAAAUAAAUCUGAAAAUAGAAAUCACCAUAAUGGAGACUUUUUUUUUAAUGUAGAAAAGGUGCUGUGCAUCAAAUGAAGUGAAAUACAUUUCCAUCACUUUUAACUUAGGAAAAGCUUCAUUUUCCACUCAUAAAUAGAAUUUUUGCCUGUCGUCUUAGGAAAAUACGCACUGUAAUAAAUAUCUUAAUUUGCUUAUUAUAGUUUUAUUGUCUGCAUUUGAAAAUAUGAAGGCUACUCUGAAAGUAAUGCCUCCUAUUUCACUGUGUUGGCCUAUGACAUCAGAGGCAGAUGUUGGUGUUAUUGUAGUAGAGGCUGAAUCUUCCUAACAAUAUUUCAUUACAUUUUGUUGCUGCGUGACCAACAGUAGCAGAGGGACAUUCUGGCAUAGUCGCAUCUGACAUGGAAGUGCAGUGUGUCAUUUAAUUCCUCCAUGUGAAAAAAUUGGCAAUCAUUGAUAUUCACUGAUACUUGCUAAACCGAAGACCGAACAGUGGAUGUGAGCCUCACCACAGUGAGGUGGUGGGUGGUGCAUUUCAGCAGUGGUAACAGUGAUGUAGAAGAGAAGUCGUGUUUCGGAUGGCCAUGAACAGCUCUCAUACCAUGAAAUGAAGAGCAUCUUGAUCAACUCAUCUGUGCAAAUCAGCAGAUUAUAACCAGGGAAUGGUGUACAGAGCUGAAUAUUAUCUUCAAUGCAUUGGAAACAGCGAUGGCAAUAUUGGACUAUCACAAAACUCGUGCCAUGUGGGUCCCAUGAGUGCUCACAUAGGAACAGAAAAAACACUGAAUACAGGUUUGUCAGGACCUCAUGAACCAAUAUGAGGCUGAAGAUGAUUGUUUCCUGGAUCACAUCAUUACUAGUGAUGAAACAUACGUGUUGUCACUACCACGAGCUGGAGUUUGGACUUCUUUUCUGUUGUAUAGAGCUGCCAUUCAGACUGCAUGAGUGAAAAGAAUGUUAAAACAUACCAUACCAGGUGAUGUUGGAAGAGUAUACACCCAGGAAAUAUCCAAGUUAUCCCCAAAUAACCUGAACAUCCAAAUGUUUCCAUUUAUCACUAAGAAAGUUGUGAGAAAGGACCAAACAGUAGUUUUUUAUAUGUUUGUUUUUGGUUUUGUUUUGAUAAAGUUGUUAUAGCAGC
rnacentral:lncRNA from 1 species